AGAUUGAACGCUGGCGGCAGGCCUAACACAUGCAAGUCGAGCGGUAGAGAGGUGCUUGCACCUCUUGAGAGCGGCGGACGGGUGAGUAAUGCCUAGGAAUCUGCCUAGUGGUGGGGGAUAACGUUCGGAAACGGACGCUAAUACCGCAUACGUCCUACGGGAGAAAGCGGGGGACCUUCGGGCCUCGCGCCAUUAGAUGAGCCUAGGUCGGAUUAGCUAGUUGGUGAGGUAAUGGCUCACCAAGGCGACGAUCCGUAACUGGUCUGAGAGGAUGAUCAGUCACACUGGAACUGAGACACGGUCCAGACUCCUACGGGAGGCAGCAGUGGGGAAUAGUU
rnacentral:rRNA from 1 species